GAUGAACGCUGGCGGCGUGCUUAACACAUGCAAGUCGAACGAAGAUGCCGGAGUGCUUGCACUUUGGCAGACUGAGUGGCGGACGGGUGAGUAACGCGUGGGUAACCUGCCUUAUACAGGGGGAUAACAGUUGGAAACGGCUGCUAAUACCGCAUAAGCGCACAGUACCGCAUGGUACAGUGUGAAAAACUCCGGUGGUGUGAGAUGGACCCGCGUCUGAUUAGCUAGUUGGCAGGGCAACGGCCUACCAAGGCGACGAUCAGUAGCCGACCUGAGAGGGUGACCGGCCACAUUGGGACUGAGACACGGCCCAAACUCCUACGGGAGGCAGCAGUGGGGAAUAUUGCACAAUGGGGGAAACCCUGAUGCAGCAACGCCGCGUGAGUGAAGAAGUAUUUCGGUAUGUAAAGCUCUAUCAGCAGGGAAGAAAAUGACGGUACCUGACUAAGAAGCCCCGGCUAACUACGUG
rnacentral:rRNA from 1 species